rnacentral:rRNA from 1 species
UGGGGAAUUUUGCACAAUGGGGGAAACCCUGAUGCAGCGACGCCGCGUGAUUUAUAAGGCCUUCGGGAUGUAAAAAUCUUUUUUACGGGAUGAAAAUGACAGUACCGUAAGAAUAAGGUCCGGCUAAAUACGUGCCAGCAGCCGCGGUAAUACGUAUGGAGCGAGCGUUGUCCGGAAUCAUUGGGCGUAAAGGGUACGUAGGCCGCCUAGUAAGUUAGAAGUGAAAUAAUAUAGCUCAACUAUAUAAAGCUUUUAAAACUGCUAGGCUUGAGAUCAGGAAGGGAAAGUGGAAUUCCUAGUGUAGCGGUGAAAUGCGCAGAUAUUAGGAAGAAUACCGGUGGCGAAGGCGACUUUCUGGUCAUCAUCUGACGCUGAGGUACGAAAGCGUGGGUAGCAAACAGG